AGUACUAGAGCCGAUUUACGCAAUCGAAUACCGCCGGAAGUAGAACAUUUAUGUCAACACCGGUUUCGUAUUUUCACGUGAAAACGGCCGAAAACCGAGAGGUUAUCAACAAAUUAUAAGUUUACGGGUUCCAUGAGGAUUUUUCAUGCAUUUAAACGACAGAAGUACAAGUGAACAGAUGACAUAUUUAAGUGGCUGCAGAAGCUUGAAAAGUUAGAUAGAGCAGGGGCAGUCAAAACAGUGGGAUAAUACUUCUAUGGUGUCCAACAUGUCUAGUCAGGUUGACAGAAGUGAAAGAUGGUCUGAUGGUACAAUGAUGUACAAAUGAUACUCUUUAACAAGUUUAAGAUGUCAAGGUGUAAAAUGUUUUGUGGAUUCAUAUGAUGAGAAUGCCAGUGUUGAUCUGUAUGACUUAAUUAAACACAGAUAUUGAUACCUUCAGAUAUGUACCUGUGAAAUCUUCAGUGUCACCGUUCAGCUAUUGUUCAAGAUCAGUGUCUGCAGCUUGCACAGUUUAGUAUAGAGGCGCCUUCUGAAUCAAUUUUGUUACAUAUUUGCUGUUAUUGUAGGACACACAUGUAGAGAGCAACAAGUCCUGUCCAGCCGUGCAUGUAAAUGUGAUUCAGAAACUUUGAGAAUAUGUAAACAUUACACUGUUAUAAUUUUCAAAAUGCUGUGUCUUGCAGUGUAUCAAUACUGUUUUGUCUCAGUUUAUAGCACAGUAUGUUCACAAAUCAAACUUAAGACCAUAGUGAUCAGUAUUAUUAAAAUCAUAAAUUAUCUGUAUGGUGACAAAAUUUAAUUUCAUGCAAUACCACAGUAAAACGUUUGAUAAUUUUCACUUUAAAAGUUGUAAGUUUAAAGUUGGCAUAAAUUGUUUUUCUCCUUCAUAAAUCUAAAAAGUGAUUGGUCAUUAUAAUUGCAAUAUCAUUUUAGUAUGACAAAGAUUAUAUUGAACUAAAACACUAAUGUAAAUUUUUGAACUAGUCAAUGCAUUUUCUUCAGUCUUAAAAAAUUUGUUUAUCGUACGUGUCAUGGCCCAUAAGUCCUCCAUAUUAUUUGUGUUUUGUCCUUUUUAGUUUCACUGAAGAAUAGGUAGAGGUAUUGCACAUCCAUUUUAUAGGAGAGAUCGCCGUGACGUCACGCGUUAACAUCUGUUUAUCUGGUGGUUGGCAAAACAAAUAAUUUUAACACCGUUUGCGUAUUGAAUCAGAAUUUUUAAUUUUUAAUAACUUUUUUGCUCAUUUAUGGAUUUUCAAAAUUCAAAAAGAUUUGAAAUACUAACAAUCUUCAUAUUUUUGUAUCCAAAUAUCUUUUUUCAAUGAAUAACCGUUUUAAAUGACAUAUAAUUUUAAAAGCGGCGUAGUGAUUUUCACAACCUUUAGAAAAACAGUGUAAGUUAAGCGUUCAUAAUUAAUCCAUUUUAUUUCGAAAUAACAAUUAAAAGUAAUCAAUAAAUUGCUUGUUUUAUAACCUUUCCAUUGAUCAAAAAAUUAUUUAUGUAAUUUGUGUUUUAAGAAAGUUUAGACCGUUAGAAAAACAUCACUGUUUACAAAAAACAUGGACGGUCGGCUUCUGCCCACCCGAUCACUGUCUUAUCAGUUCUAAAAAUAGAAUUUGUAUACAAACACGAUAUCUCCUAUUGCAUCCCUAUUUUGUAAAGUGUUGUAUGUAAGGUUUUAUCUCGGAAUUAUGUCUCAUCUAAAGGUGGGGAGAGCUAUUGUUUAUGCCUUCUCUUCUGUCCGCAUUAAGCCUGUCUGGCUUUAAGAGGACAAGCUGCUGGCCAGAUUUUGAUGAAACUUCACAAGACUGAUCAGUACCAAGCCUAGUGUUGUGCAUAUCGCUUGCAUGUUUCGUUUCUAUGCACUAAAUUGCAGCCAGAGCUAAAAAUAGAAAAAUCUUGUCGGCUUUCACAGGUCAAAACUACUUAACAGAUUUUGAUGAAACUUCACAGGAGUGAUCAGUACCAAGUAUAUUUUUGCAUAUCACCGACACUUUCCAUUUUGCUGCACAAAAUAGCUGCCAUACUAUUGCUAAAGGUAUACAUAGGUGGGAGACAUAUUUUGUCAUAAAAAUACCUAAAACACCUUCCACUUUCGUCUUUGUUAAUGAAAAAUGUAUCAAACUUUUUACAAUUACAAACUGUAAUAUUUUGACAUUAAAUGCACUAGUUCCAUAACUGCAUUUGGCUUUUUUCAUAAUUAUUGCCAUUUUCUUACCAUAGCAAUAUUUUGUGUAACAUGUUACCUCAUUAAGCAUCAUAAGAUCAGAAAGUUCUAUGAGUCAGAAAUGUUGGCCCUUUGUACUUGUCAUGAGUAUGUUUUCAGUAUUUUAUAUUGUCAUAACUUUUUGUUGUGCCAGUUUACGGAAAUGAAGACUUAGUUGUCCAAAUGUGUGCCUGUGCCUGUCCUGAUUUGUUUGUCUGGACAAUAUAUUAUUGAUUAGUCUUCAAGAAACUUUGCAGGUUAAUUUCCUUAAGUUCCCUGUCAACUUUGAUAGUGGCAUGGUUACUUUAGAAACACUAAAGUGAUGUCACCACUGUACUAGUCAAACGUUUUGUAUUUCAGAUUUUAUAUCACAUUACAGGCUACUGGUCUUUAGCAGCCUUCAUAAAACUUUCAUAAAAGUUUCCAAAAAUGUUGUAUUUUGAUUUGAGCUGGCAUUAUUCAAACAUUAAGAAGUAGUACUAUAAGGCAACAUUUGACCUCUUUUCCAGUACUUUUUGAUUUUCUCUGUUACUAUGAAGUUUCCUUUUCCUAGAAAUUAGCUGGCUUAUUUUUGAUGAUCUUAUGUUUUUAAUGAAUUGUUGCUAUGUUCUUUAUCUCAUGAAAAUGUCCAUUAUUAUAUAAUUCAUAUUUUUUACUGUCAACUAAGUGCAAUACCACAUACUUAUAUCACUUUCAUUAACAUACUUGUACUAUUUUCAUAAAACAUUAUAUAAAUCAUUAUAUUUCAUAUAAACAGAAUUAAAUAAAUAUUUAAGAACAUCAGUGUUUUCUUUGAUUGCUACAUAAAACAGACCAUAGGUCAAUUUAGGGUCAGUUCUGACACUUUAUAUGCAAAUUGAUAAGGGAGAUAACAAGUACUGUCUUAAGUAACCAAUAUUUUGUUACACAGUUACCUUCCCUUUACACAGGUAGGACUAUUUGUUGAUCAUCAUCUUUUGAACAUUAUUCCAUUUCUG